rnacentral:piRNA from 1 species
UAACAUAAAUGAUGGGCGACCUCCUCCAGU